UCUAAAUGGAUAUGGGAAAUAAAUUGGGAAAAAUAAAAAUAAUGACACGACAUAACAAUUCUAUUUUCCCCUGUUUUGUGGCAGAUGGUGCUCCACUAGCAAACAGACAACUUCAGUCAGAAUAUUGAAGAUCAUAGAGGUGGAAAUAAAGCAUCUGCCGCUGAAUAGCAAGAAGCAGCUCCAUAGAGGAAUAUUCUAAAUAUUGUGCUGAGGACCAAGAUGGCAGGAUUUAGGUGGUCUUCAUUGGCUUUCAGAUGGCUGGAUUUUGACUUCUCUUUAUCUUCACUGAUCUCCCGAUGGCCGGAAUUCGACUUCUCAUACUUGACACCAAGGUGGGCUCCACACAGUUUCCAGUGGCCUGAUCUUGACUUCUCUGUUGUGGAUAAUGUCAUGUGGACUUUGAUCACAGUGUUCGAGUCCUUUGCCUUGGCUGCAAUGCUCUGCUUCUUCUUCAUCUGCUGUGGUUGUACCUUCUGAUUUGUCCAGCGCACCGGCUAGCC